rnacentral:rRNA from 1 species
AACGAACGCUGGCGGCAUGCCUAACACAUGCAAGUCGAACGAGACCUUCGGGUCUAGUGGCGCACGGGUGCGUAACGCGUGGGAAUCUGCCCUUGGGUUCGGAAUAACUUCGGGAAACUGAAGCUAAUACCGGAUGAUGACGUAAGUCCAAAGAUUUAUCGCCCAAGGAUGAGCCCGCGUAGGAUUAGCUAGUUGGUGAGGUAAAGGCUCACCAAGGCGACGAUCCUUAGCUGGUCUGAGAGGAUGAUCAGCCACACUGGGACUGAGACACGGCCCAGACUCCUACGGGAGGCAGCAGUGGGGAAUAUUGGACAAUGGGCGAAAGCCUGAUCCAGCAAUGCCGCGUGAGUGAUGAAGGCCUUAGGGUUGUAAAGCUCUUUUACCCGGGAUGAUAAUGACAGUACCGGGAGAAUAAGCUCCGGCUAACUCCGUGCCAGCAGCCGCGGUAAA